CUUUAAUUUCAGAUUACUCCACGUUUGGUCCUCAUUUUACGUGUCAUGUAUGCAGAUUCUGCUGACGUGGUGAAAUGAGGGACCAAAAGUGGAAGAAUUUGAAAUUACAG
rfam:Medicago truncatula strain A17 chromosome 5, whole genome shotgun sequence.